UACACACCGCCCGUCGCACCAUGGAAGCUGGUUAUACCCGAAGUCAUUACUCUAACCGUUUGGAGGAGGGUGCUUAAGGUAGAAUUAGUGACUGGGGUGAAGUCGUAACAAGGUUUCCG
rnacentral:rRNA from 1 species